GAGCGAGCCCUUCCUCUCCCACGUCGCCGGCCAGGUGCUCCAGGGCCUCGACUACCUUCACAGCCGGAAGAUCAUCCACCGCGACAUCAAGCCGUCCAAUCUCCUCAUCAACAGCCAGAAGCAGAUCAAGAUCGCUGACUUUGGGGUCGGGAGAAAAAGGCAACGCCUUUAUUGGGAAAAUUGGAUCAUCUUGCAGCUUCAAUCACUCGCUCACCAACAAACGAUUGUUCUCCAUUACUAUCUUGAUUGUAUUCAUCAACACCAAAGAGAUCUUUGCUUUAGGCUUGCUUUCCUCCUUCAGCCUAAUUUCGCUAUUUCAGGGAAAAUUUGUUCUUCGCUCUGCUAAUUCCAUGGAUAGUAUGAACACAUAAGUGGAUAUCUACGUAACCAUGCAUUUGUGACAUUGCUUGGUUGAGAAGGGAUUGGCUGAGAGAUUGUGGAUGGGUAGUUUGCUUGAGGAUGUACUAUGAGGUUGGGAUUAACAAAACUGUCACUGUCGAGACCUUUGCCAAUCUCCUUCAGGUUUCAUAAGAAUUUUUCGCUAAUUCAGGUACAUAUUUCAUAAAAUUAUGAAUAAUCAGGUUAUCACUGGUUUCGUUUGUUUUUUCCAUGUCAAACAGGUUUCUUGUUAUUUUUUCAUGUCAAACCGCUAUAUUUCAUAUCAAAUCAGGUACGCAGUUCAUACCAAUAGAAUCAUGUUAUUCUAGGUUUCAUAUGAUUUUUUAUGUCAAAUAGAUAUUGAUAAUGAAUUCGGUUAUUUACUAUUUGUUCAUGUUACAUUCACAUCUUUAUUAUUGAAUCCAAUCCUUGUGCUUCCCAACUCUUGUCACAAACAAUGUGUAUUACAUCUGUUAUCAAAACUGUUGUAUUUUUGUUGUCGUUAAACUUACUUUUUCAACAUUUAUGAUUAUUGAAAUGAAUAUCCCAAUUUUAAAGAUAGGAGUAUGCAUUCUUUAUUCUCCCCGCGUUACGC